UAGCGAAGGGGGCUAGCGUUGCUCGGAAUCACUGGGCGUAAAGCGCACGUAGGCGGCUUGUUAAGUCAGGGGUGAAAUCCUGGAGCUCAACUCCAGAACUGCCUUUGAUACUGGCGAGCUCGAGUCCGGGAGAGGUGAGUGGAACUGCGAGUGUAGAGGUGAAAUUCGUAGAUUAUCGCAAGAACACCAGUGGCGAAGGCGGCUCACUG
rnacentral:rRNA from 1 species